rnacentral:rRNA from 1 species
GACGAACGCUGGCGGCGUGCUUAACACAUGCAAGUCGAACGGAAAGGCCUUUUCGGCGGCACUCGAGUGGCGAACGGGUGAGUAACACGUGGGUGAUCUGCCCUGCACUCUGGGAUAAGCCUGGGAAACUGGGUCUAAUACCGGAUAGGACCGCACUUUAGUGCGUGUGGUGGAAAGUUUUUUCGGUGUAGGAUGAGCUCGCGGCCUAUCAGCUUGUUGGUGGGGUAAUGGCCUACCAAGGCGGCGACGGGUAGCCGGACUGAGAGGUUGGUCGGCCACAUUGGGACUGAGGUGCGGCCCAGACGCCUACGGGAGGCAGAAGUGGGGAAUAUUGCACAAUGGGCGCAAGCCUGAUGCAGCGGGGCCGCGUGGGGGAUGACGGCCUUCGGGUUGUAAACUCCUUUCGCCAGGGACGAAGCGUUUUGUGACGGUACCUGGAGAAGAAGCACCGGCUAACUACGUG